UACGAAGGGGGCUAGCGUUGCUCGGAAUCACUGGGCGUAAAGGGUGCGUAGGCGGGUCUUUAAGUCAGGGGUGAAAUCCUGGAGCUCAACUCCAGAACUGCCUUUGAUACUGAGGAUCUUGAGUACGGGAGAGGUGAGUGGAACUGCGAGUGUAGAGGUGAAAUGCGUAGAUAUUGGGAGGAACACCAAUUGCGAAGGCAGCUCGCUGGGACGUAACUGACGCUGAGACGCGAAAAGCGUGGGGGAGCGAACAGG
rnacentral:rRNA from 1 species